rnacentral:miRNA from 1 species
AGAGUGAGUGGCUGUCAUUUU